GACUGCGAGCGUGACGGCGCGAGCAGGUGCGAAAGCAGGUCAUAGUGAUCCGGUGGUUCUGAAUGGAAGGGCCAUCGCUCAACGGAUAAAAGGUACUCCGGGGAUAACAGGCUGAUACCGCCCAAGAGUUCAUAUCGACGGCGGUGUUUGGCACCUCGAUGUCGGCUCAUCACAUCCUGGGGCUGAAGUAGGUCCCAAGGGUAUGGCUGUUCGCCAUUUAAAGUGGUACGCGAGCUGGGUUUAGAACGUCGUGAGACAGUUCGGUCCCUAUCUGCCGUGGGCGCUGGAGAACUGAGGGGGGCUGCUCCUAGUACGAGAGGACCGGAGUGGACGCAUCACUGGUGUUCGGGUUGUCAUGCCAAUGGCACUGCCCGGUAGCUAAAUGCGGAAGAGAUAAGUGCUGAAAGCAUCUAAGCACGAAACUUGCCCCGA
rnacentral:rRNA from 1 species